CCAGCAGCCGCGGUAAUUCCAGCUCCAAUAGCGUAUAUUAAAAUUGUUGCAGUUAAAAAGCUCGUAGUUGAAUUUCUGCUAAAAAUAACCGGUCUGCUUUUAAUAAAGGUGGUAUCUUGGUGUGUUUUUAGCAAUAAUGUCCUUUGAAAUGUUUUUUACUUCAUUGUAAUAAAUUAUAUUCAGGAUUUUUACUUUGAGAAAAUUAGAGUGUUUCUAGCAGGCUAAUGCUUUGAAUACUGCAGCAUGGAAUAA
rnacentral:rRNA from 1 species